GACGAACGCUGGCGGCGUGCUUAACACAUGCAAGUCGAACGGAAAGGCCCUGCUUUUGUGGGGUGCUCGAGUGGCGAACGGGUGAGUAACACGUGAGUAACCUGCCCUUGACUUUGGGAUAACUUCAGGAAACUGGGGCUAAUACCGGAUAGGAGCUCCUGCUGCAUGGUGGGGGUUGGAAAGUUUCGGCGGUUGGGGAUGGACUCGCGGCUUAUCAGCUUGUUGGUGGGGUAGUGGCUUACCAAGGCUUUGACGGGUAGCCGGCCUGAGAGGGUGACCGGGCACAAUGGGACUGAGGUACGGCCCAGACUCCUACGGGAGGCAGCAGGGGGGAAUAUUGCACAAUGGGCGGAAGCCUGAUGCAGCAACGCCGGGUGCGGGAUGACGGCCUUCGGGUUGUAAACCGCUUUCGCCUGUGACGAAGCGUGAGUGACGGUAAUGGGUAAAGAAGCACCGGCUAACUACGUG
rnacentral:rRNA from 1 species